rnacentral:rRNA from 1 species
AACCAGCACCUCAAGUGGUCAGGAUGAUUAUUGGGCCUAAAGCAUCCGUAGCCGGCUCUGUAAGUUUUCGGUUAAAUCUGUACGCUCAACGUACAGGCUGCCGGGAAUACUGCAGAGCUAGGGAGUGGGAGAGGUAGACGGUACUCGGUAGGAAGGGGUAAAAUCCUUUGAUCUAUUGAUGACCACCAGUGGCGAAGGCGGAUUUCUGGGCUAGCACUGACGCUGAGGUGCGAAAGCUGAGGGAGCGAACAGG